AUAAGUUCACAUUGAAAAGGAAGAGGGUGUGAAUCGCUGGGCCGUGAAGAAAUCGGCUGGAAUCGAUCUGGCUGGACCAAGAUCGGGAGGCAGAAGCCUCGGAGGAGGGAAUCCUCGGAUCGGAGCCUUGUGAGCCCGGAAGACACUGCGCAGUGCAAAUAAGGUAAGCAGCCGGACGGUUGGAAGGGAGCUUAAGGAUGGGAAACCAGUUAAGUAAAGAGGAUGAAGUAAUGCUUAAGCUCUUCCAACAUAUCCUCUCCGAGAGAGGGAUAAAGUACGAUAAUGAAACUCUGAAAAGGCUUUUACUCUGGUGUAAAGAGAAAAAGCUAAUUGUGGAACUUGGUGAAGCUUUUAAGAUUGAGACUUGGGAGAAAGUUGGGCUGUGUUUAUGGGAUGAUAUUUCCCAAGGGUCAAAGGAGGCAAAGCCCCUUGCCACACUGUGGCGACUAUUAAAAGACACAUUAACUACUAUGAAAGCUGAGAAGGAAAUAUUCAUGUCUGCCUUUCCGAUGUUUUCGAACUCGCCUGAGCAACAGCCGGCUGCUGCUGGCGCGCCAGUAGCAGCCGGAGUGUUGGUUUCGGGCGAGGCAGCUCCAGCUCGAAAGCCCGUGCGUCAGAAAGUACGGAUGUUUGAGGACCCAGUGCCCCCCUCCUACCCCGCAAUACGCGAUGAGGGGGCUUGGGAGAGGGAGGGUGCACGACCACGACCACCUAUGGCUAAUCCUUUUCGUGAUGCUACUGCCCCAGAGGCAGAAAAUACCUCUCCCCCGGCCCCCUACCCCCACCCCCUACGGACGGGGAGAGAGAACCUUUUGAGGAGGAUAAUAAAACUCCCACUUUACAACACCCCCCUUCGCCUUUGACACCAGCACUUGCAGCGCUCCCGUUGGAGCCGCAAAUUAGCCAGGAAUGGCACCGCUGGUCAAAGCUGUUAGAUCAAAAGCUACAAGAUUUACGAGACCAUCUGGAGGAGCUGGGGCCUAAAGAUAAGGAGCAAGCUCUCG
rnacentral:lncRNA from 14 species